UACGGGGGGGAGCAAGCGUUGUUCGGAUUUACUGGGCGUAAAGGGCGCGUAGGCGGCCAGCACAAGUCAGUUGUGAAAUCUCCGAGCUUAACUCGGAAAGGUCAACUGAUACUGUGCGGCUAGAGUGCGGAAGGGGCAACUGGAAUUCUUGGUGUAGCGGUGAAAUGCGUAGAUAUCAGGAGGAACACCGGUGGUGUAGACGGCUCUCUGGACCGUAACUGACGCUGAAACACGAAAGCGUGGGUAGCAAACAGG
rnacentral:rRNA from 1 species